GGAAGAGCAAUUAUUCUUAUUUCUAUAGUGUUUAUAAAACCUGUAAUGCCAAUAUAGUCCACAUUCUCAAAUAUUUUUCCCUUGCAAUACUUAAAAAAAUAUAUAUAUAUAUAUUUUGCGGGAAAUAAAGUAAAAUGUUCAUUGGUACAUCUGUAAGGUUCCUAUAUAGACCUCCCAGCACAGGAGGAGAGGAAACCUGUGAGGUUCCUCUAUAGAGCCCCAGAUAUAGGAGAAGAGGAGACCUGUGAGGUUCCUCUAUAGAGCCCCAGAUAUAGGAGAAGAUGAGACCUGUGAGGUUCCUCUAUAGAGCCCCAGAUAUAGGAGAAGAUGAGACCUGUGAGGUUCCUCUAUAGAGCCCCAGACAGGAGAAGAUGAGACCUGUGAGGUUCCUCUAUAGAGCCCCAGACAGGAGAAGAUGAGACCUGUGAGGUUCCUCUAUAGAGCCCCAGAUAUAGGAGAAGAUGAGACCUGUGAGGUUCCUCUAUAGAGCCCCAGACAGGAGAAGAUGAGACCUGUGAGGUUCCUAUAGAGCCCCAGACAGGAGAAGAUGAGACCUGUGAGGUUCCUCUAUAGAGCCCCAGACAGGAGAAGAUGAGACCUGUGAGGUUCCUCUAUAGAGCCCCAGAUAUAGGAGAUGAGACCUGUGAGGUUCCUCUAUAGAGCCCCAGAUAUAGGAGAAGAGGAGACCUGUGAGGUUCCUCUAUAGAGCCCCACACAGGAGAAGAUGAGACCUGUGAGGUUCCUAUAGAGCCCCAGACAUAGGAGAAGAUGAGACCUGUGAGGUUCCUCUAUAGAGCCCCAGAUAUAGGAGAAGAUGAGACCUGUGAGGUUCCUCUAUAGAGCCCCAGAUAUAGGAGAAGAUGAGACCUGUAAGGUUCCUCUAUAGAGCCCCAGAUAUAGGAGAAGAUGAGACCCAGUGUUGCUCAUUUUACUUUAAAAAAGUAAUUAGUUACAGUUACAAAUUACUUCUCCGAAAAAGUAAUUGCGUUAGUGACUCAGUUA